rnacentral:rRNA from 1 species
GACGUAGGGAGCGAGCGUUGUCCGGAUUCAUUGGGCGUAAAGCGCGCGCAGGCGGCCAGGCAAGUCGGGUGUGAAAAUCCGGGGCUCAACCCCGGACCUGCAUCCGAAACUGCAUGGCUAGAGGUAGGUAGGGGAGAUCGGAAUUCCUGGUGUAGCGGUGAAAUGCGCAGAUAUCGGGAAGAACACCUAUGGCGAAGGCAGCUCUCUGGGACGGUACUGACGCUGAGACGCGAAAGCGUGGGGAGCGAACAGG